CGAAAUUAAAAUACUGUAGUUGAGCUAUUAUACUCAACUAGUGAAAAAGGCGGCCAAGGGCAACUCAUAAAAUGCAUUAUUCAUUGCUUUAAUUUAACCAACCCUCUCUCCAAUCUACGAUGAUUAAACAACGUGUUACGGGUUGAGUACCAUCUAGCGGUUGAAAUGAGAUCACGCAGGCUCAAAAAUGAUAUUUGAUGUUUUAUUACAAGACAGAACUAAUGCAGUUGUGGAGAUACAGAAUAACAAUAUAGACAAAACCAAAACAAAAUCGAAAGAAGUGCACAAAAUGAAAAUUACUUGAAGGUCCUAACGGUUCAAUUUACAGCAUCAGUUUUACAAAUGGAUUUGAAAUAAAUAAAUAUUAAAUGACAUUACAGAUUGAAUUUCAUGAUGUAAAAGGCAUGUUCGUUCUUAUAAGGCACACUAAUGAUCAAAUGUGCCAUGCAAACACCAAUAAAAUAGUCAUUUCCCUAUAUACAAAAACAGUUUAGAAUUUCCAUCUUGAUAAAAGGAAGCAUCAGCUCUCCUUUUAAUGACACUAUUUAAGAAUCAGAGAAAGAUUUAACACUCAACUAACCUGCUACACAAAAGUAACUGUUUUGAAAACCAAGGUUAUACAGUAUAUUGACACAAACCAUUCUACUGAUUUAUCGAUUUAAAACAAUGAAACGCAGGAAAAACAAUUUUGCUACGAGGCGGAGAUGGACUUACAAAUGUUGCUCCUUUAACAUUUUGGUAAUUUCUCACAUUCAAAAUGUCUGCAUAGUCUACGCUUUAAGUUACAAGUGAUGCCAUAAAAGAAUGCCUCAAUCUAAAUAGUUCCACAUCUGUACACAUUUAGUGGUUUAAAAAGAUGCAUUGUAAUUUAAAAUAGUUCUCAUAGCCAAAACACUCUCAAGUGUAUAUACAAGAACACUUCAACAUAUGAUUAUAAAAAUGUGCAUUUUCAGCUCAUGGAAGACUACAAAUAAAUAAUUGCUGGUUUUCAUUCC
rnacentral:lncRNA from 13 species